rnacentral:lncRNA from 1 species
UUUGGGAGCUGAAAUCACAGUUCGUUUCUACUGAUGCAGAUUUUUGUUUUAUGUUUCAUUUAACGACCCAGACUCUGAAUGCAUGAAGCGGCUUUUUAUUAGGCUUUUGGAGUGCUUGUAAAGCUUUAAUUCCAGUUUGUGCGAGCUGUCACACACAGACUGAGAUUUUAAAAGCUGCAGCAAAUGACUCCAGUUUUAGCCGGGCUAAAAGACACAGUCGGCUAAAUUAAAAGUGCGGGAGAAAAAUAACAAUGAUAGAAAUCGUAAAAGCGUUUCCACUCCUGUUGUUUUGAGCUCUUUCCUCUCCUCUCUCCUCAGUUUGGUUUGGUGCAGCAGGUCACAGAUCAACAACUCUAUCAAAUACCUCCCACCUAUAUUUCAUCCGUUUCUGUGGGAUAAUGGACAGUAAAAACUUUCCUCUAAGAGGGGCAGGGAGCAGGUGCAGUUCAGGAGCUGCCAGUUGCCCAUUCCUGGAGAAGCGCCGGGGUCAAAGGUGAAGCAGGAAAUGUCCAAGAGCUCAAACCUCACUAUCAUUAGAGCCAGAUGAGUCUCUGCAGGCUGAUAGGAGGCAGACAGCCAAAGGAGAGCCUUGACCCUUCUCUGUGGUGACUAAUGGUUCAGACAUUGCUCACUAUAUCUCCAGGGCAGGAGUGUGUCACCCAGUCCAGAAGACCUGAGGGUGCACCGCCUGGAGCCCGGACGACCUCCGAUUAAAAUAAGAAUUAAAACUCUUCUAUUCCUGAUUCAUAAAAUCAAUCACGGUCUUUGUAAACACGCUGCAGUUUUUUUGUUUUUGAGGAGUUUUUGUUUUCUUGGCUUUAACUCCAGUCUUUAUCUGCUCAACCGCAGGGAUUUAACUGCAAAUCUGAACAUCCCUAUUCAGCGCCGUAGCUGCAGGUAAAACACACUAUCGCUGCAGUACAAAGUAGAGCGCUAAAUGAGCUGGAAGACAGAAGGGGGUUAAGGAAAUGCAAAACAUUUGGGACACACCAGUGUGUGUGCGAAGCUUAACAGAUAAACAAAGAAGAAGAAAAAUAUUGUUUUUCACGUAUAAGACUGAAUAAAAGAUGCCAAAGCUGUGCUCUGAGGGAUGACUGUGCCGGUCCUUCACUCUUAGUUCUCAGACGGAAAAGAAAAAAUAUUGUAUUGAUGAAAUCUUGAAUAGAUUGGAUUUACAAUCAUGGUUUCAAAUAACAUUUCUGUGCAACCAGAGCAAGUUUUUUUUUUUCUUAAAGGAGAGACGGAAACAGAAAAUUCAGCAAAGUUGUGAUUUUUUUAGAGUUAUACUGAUGGAUAAAAAGGACUUAUUAACAAAGAGGAUUAGGGCCACAAGAAGAAAAAUAAUCAUUACAGGAGGAAGGGAGAUUUUCUUCAAUUUCCAUUUCGAGAUUAAAGUUGAAAUUUCAAGAUUAAAGUCGAUAUUUAAAAGAGACAAAAUGUCGACUUAAUUCAUGCUGGUUUUUAAACCCGAAAUUUUGAUUUAUUUAAUCCAGAAAUUUCAACAUUAUUCACGACAUUUUGACAUUUUGACAUUUUGACAUUUUGAAAUCCCGAAAUUUCAACUUUAAUCUCAAAAAUUCAAUUUUUUAUCUCCAAAUUUCGACUUUAAUCUUAAAAUUUUUUAUUUUUAAUCUCAAAAUGUUUACUUAAACCUUAAAAUUUCGACUUAAACCUCAAAGUUUUCAACUUUAUCUUGAAAUUUUGACUUUAAUCAUGAAAUUUCGACUUUUAUCUCCUUCCUGUAAUUAUUUUUUUUCUCUUCAUGUGGCCCUAAUCCUCUUUCGUACAUUGUACAUGAGAUAAUCUAAUCUGACUGCUGGAUGAUAUUCACAUGCACUAACUCAGCUGACCCACAGACCUGAACAUGAAGCCAGUCGAUGAUUUUUACAGCACAACAUCAGAGAAGUGAGCGUCCAGGAUAUUUAAAUAAAUUCAAAAAAAUAAUAAUAAAAUGAAUAUUUGGUUCACAUUUUCACCAAAUCAGGAAACAAACUGCAGAAAAUAAAAGUGUUUUUUUUCCCCACCAGACUGGAAACUCGUGGACACACUCCGACUCCUGCAGUCGCUUCAUUUUUCACUUCCACAGACAGGUUCCCUCUUGACACCUGUUCCUUCGUCGGCCUUUUCUUUUGUUUUGUUUUGUCGUUCGGCAUCCUCAUAAAUUUAACAGUUUUGUCUCUUGUUCACCUUUUCGCGCUCUCUGCCAUCCAUCCAUCCACAGAUUUCAGGUUCUCCACCCAGAAGUUCUUGUAACCAUGUAUUGAUUUGUUCUGCUGCUGCUGUGGGGGAUCUUAUCACUCUCCAUCUGGGGUCGUCAAAAGGUGAAAUAUAUUUGUUUUUAGGGGCCGACGAAAUGCGUGAAUUAAGAUUUCUCUGUGAGAGACAGGAGCGUCGAGAUAAGAGCGACAAAAACACAAAACGGAAGUUAAUUUUAAUGCAAAUGUCACGAGAAUCAAUUAACGACAGAGCUGCGAGUUCAGGUACAGCGCCGCCUUGUUUUUUUGUUUUUUUUUCUUUCCUCUCAAAUCGAGCUGUUAUCUCUGCGCACUGACAGAUGCUUCCUCCUGGCAAAAGACGCCGAUUCCUGCAGGAUGCACACAAACACACACGCGAACACACAAAAGAGCAGCGAUGUUUAUAAAUGAUACUGGCGUGAUUGAGUCACAGGUUAGGAGGAGGGGGACUUUAAAAAAACUCGAUUAGGUGCAUGUGUAGCGUGGAGAUGAUUCUGCAGGAGGAACUGCAGGCUAAUGCUUUCUACAAAAGGGUCACAAAUGGAGGAGAGGAGAGAGCGAAGAGGUGGGCCCUGAUGCCGCUGAUUGGCCUCAAUCAUUGCAGGUGAUUGGGAGACUGGAUGAUGGAGGGCUUGCAGGAGAGAGAGGGAGCACUGCUACUGCUCCUCCUGCCUCAUAUAGAUUCAUUUAUUUGUGUCAGGGACAUUUAGCUCACUGAGUGGAUUCAGUGGGUGUACAGAGGCGGGCGUACAGAGACCAAUUUGGGUUGCGUUUUGCAGGAUUAGGGCGACGUCGCUCGCUGUCAAUACCACAAGCAGAAUAAAGCUAAACUGACAAGAAAGGGAGCGUUUACUGUGCGUGGAGACGUCAAUAACCCGCUCAGAGUUUGCACCGUUUCAGCCAUUAUGUCGAACCUUUUGGUAAUGAUCGGCUAAUUUGCAGAACAAGGAGGUCGCAUGCCUGAUGGAGUACAAGCAGUACACAAAAUGUUGCUAACAGAGCAGAGCUGCUGCAGACAGUGACCUUGAUAUUGUCCGCGGAGACGGCGUCAGCAGGCAGGAUACACAACCCGCCCAGUCACUGCGCGGCUAAUGAGCGGAUGCAUUGCUCAGCUUUAUCUUCUUAAUUAAUGAUUGAGACGUGACUCUGUGAGUUCCUCCUGGAUAUGCAUGCGUCAGCUCAGCGGGGACGUUAACUGUAGCGACUCACGGGGGGAUUGAGAUUCAGAAACAAAAAAGCAAUUAUCAGGUGAGGCUCUGAAGUGGAGAAAUGAGAAAAAAAAGGUCCUGUUUCCUCAUUGAAGUGUAAAUCCGUGACUUGAUUAAUUUUGUUUGUGCUCAAACAAAAUUUGCACCGUUGUGUUUAGCUCAUUUCACUGCACAUAUCCCAAUUACAAAGGGAGCAGGGCUUGUAAACAAAAAUCACAUGGACCCGCAUGGAAAUUAUUUAUCUGAAAUUAUUGCAAUAAAAUCAGACUGAGUCUGACAUUUUCUAUAAUUAUCUCCUCGUGAUAGAAAUAACUCAGUAUGAUGUUUACAGCCGGGGAAAAAAGAGCCGUAAUUGUGCUUUCAGGCUGACUCAGGCUAGCACAUUUCAAUGGGCUUAUUACUCUGUAUCCCAAACACAAACACAGAAUCAUUUCUCUUCUGUAUUUAUGUGUUUUUAUUAUUAUGAAUGAUUAUUGUGUUCAGUUCAAACACAAAAUAAGAUGAUUUUUCUUCUUUAGCUGCAUGAACACUAAAAAAGAGAGAGGUAAAUGUUGAAGAAACAGGUGCUCUCAGGUAGAAACUCAAGGUUAAAGUCUUCUUAUAGGAUAUGCAGAUGAGCCAUAUGUCUUCUCAAAGGUUAAGUGACUCAUGUACACAUAUGGUGGAGGUGAGGUGUCAUGAGGGGGUGGAGCGGGAAACAUGAAGCCCAAGUCUGGUUGAUGUUUGACUUACUUAUUUUUAGGCACCCCGUUUAAUACAGCAGAUUUUUCAGGUGUUACUUUGCCUUAUCAGAUAAUUGAAAGAGGAAACUGAUAGUAUAAAGGGAAAUUGGACUUGUUACACUACAGUUACAGGCGUUUGUUUCAAUAUCCUCUGCAUAACGGGUUUCCAAAUCCUCACAACUACACAGGUGGGUUUUCCCGCCCAGAAAACAGACCAAAUGGAGACAUUUUUAAAACAGUUCUACAACUGAUUACAGGAAACGCUCCGUCAUACAAAUGGAGCUGCAACCCAAACAUGUCAACAAUAGUCAAUAGUCAAUAGGGUGACCAUAUGUCCUCUUUUAACCGGACAUGUCCUCUUUUUUAGUGGCUUUGGGAGUUUAUGAAAUCCUUCAAAUGUCCGGGGUUUUGUCAGAAGUUUUGAGUUUGUGUCGCAUGGACUGACUGAGUUAGCGGCACGUAAAAAACACUCAAUCCAACCCAACCCGAAACACUCUCAGAAUUAACUAGGCGUGACUCCGCCCCCCCGCAAUCGUGUCCUCACCCUAAAAUAAAAGCUAUUUAGUUCAAUACAUGCUCCAGAAACUUUGAUUUGGCUUAAAGAAAAGACACCAGAAUUUUUAGUGUAUCUAACAAGUUCCUGAUAUUUGUAGAACCGUGGACCUGAGGUGGUCUAACUCUAACCCACUUUGAGCCAGGACUGUCACGCCAGGUAAUCAGGAAUGUUAUCAUGUGAGAUUGCUCUACUAUCCUGAUGUAAACAAGCGCAGAUGUUUCAUGGCGCUUCGUGGUGUGGUUUGGCGAGGCAUCGGCGACCUUCAUGUCGCUUCUCUUGGACUACAAAUGACCUUUGGAGGAGCAAGGGUUUUAACUGUCUAUAUAUUUCCGUAUUUUUCAGGUGAUAAGGCGCAUUAAGCAUUUGCACGAUGAUUGGUUUCUUGUUGCGCGUACUCCAGGCCAGGGCGGUCUUACAUGACUGCACUUCGAGUUUAGACAUGACAGUCAGGCAGUCUCGUAGACUGCUCAGGGGUCCUGUUACGGGGUCAAUCAGGUAGUGAAUUAGCGUAACGUAAUGCUCCGAUUAUCUAAUAAGCAGAGCGGCUUUGGUGCUAACCAAGAUCGUACUUACACAUUUCGACAGAUUGCGCAUUCUACCACAUAAAAUCUGUCAGUAAGCACAACAAGUAAUCAUUCGUAAGGCGCGCUGGAUGAUCAGGCGCACUGUCAAUGUUUGAGAAAAUUUCAGGAUUUUAAGUGCGCCUUAUAGUCCGAAAAAUACUUUAUAUCAUCAACCCUGAAAAAGUUACCCAACCAGGUGUGGAAAUUUAGUCUACCUGCGAUUUGGUGCAGAAAUAGCAAAGUCAACUUCUUGGUUCUUGGUCAGCGCCAUAAACCCAACGGUAAGCCACGCUAUUUAAAAAAAAAACCCAAAUGACUGUGCUGAGGUCUAGACGGUCACUUUUCCUGUCAAACAGUUUAAAGCUUCCAGAAGUUUCUCCGUAACGACACCUGAGUCUCAACCAGCUACGGCAUGACCUGAAUGGAGUCUGUCUUUGUGUUGUUUUAAAACGAGUACAAGUUUUAUUUCCUUAAUAUUGCGUUGAAUUAAGGUUAAACGAGGCGCAGGUAAAUGCUCCUCUUUUGCUUUUCACUCCUCUCAUCAGAAGUGUUGCAGAUGCAGGCCAGAGCCGCAGCUCCGUGCCAAGUGUUCUCGCCAUACUCCUGGCUGCUGCAGCGUUUAUUCACUGGAGUGAAAAUCGACAGCAUGCUCAGUUUCAGCCGCUCUGACUGCUCCUUUUAAAGAAGAGACUCUGCCAGUUUGUCACUUCCAGGAUGAGGACGGGUUCUUAUUAAGCAUGAGGUGUUGUUUCCUAGUGAAGUGUGGCAGAAUUAACAAAACACCAGACGAUGUCUCACAUUUAACAGUUUGAUUUUUUUCAAGUAUACCUUUAAUUGGAUUCUUACUUUCUUUUAAUACAAAGAGUCCAGAAAACUAAAAUAAAAUGAACAAACGAUCUUUUUCCUCUACAAAUGCAUGUAACCACAAACCUCCUUCUCUUUUGUUUCCAAGUUUUUGUUGCCCGGGGUGAAUCAGCCUCUAAGAAGAAACAGGAUUAUAAAUAGAAACAAUAUGAAAACAUAAUGAUAUUCAAGACAGUGGUUUAGCAGCGGAAAUAAGUGCUGAAUUGCAGUUCUUAAUUAUAGAUCACCGUGGCACUGAAAUAAACUAAAUAAAACUCUGAGAGGAGCAGAGGAAAAAGAAAAUAGUCGAGAAAUUGAACUGAGAGAGUCGCCACAGUUUAGUGUUUUCUUCUGGACUGAAAAACCGGAGAAAUCGAUCGCUCAGUGGGUAGAGCAUCCAUUUCCCGACUGGGUGGGUUGGGGUAUGCUACUCGCUCCGGUGGCCAAUUCGGACAUGCUACAUACUACCUCGACUACUACUUCGACAACUACUUGGCAAUUCAGACGCAGCCAGGGGCAAGGCGGACAUUUUCAGGGCGCUCUAAAUGCAAUCCGCAAAGCCGUGAGUUCCUAUACGUGACUUUAAGAAUGUUAAGAAUAUGGAUAGUGAUGUUUUGUUAAAAACGGUGUUAAGAACCAAGUUUAUUUAUUUGUAAGAUAAAAGAAACAUACUAGAAUCCCAAGUGUGUGUUUUAUGUCUCAUUGAGGUAGAAAUAAGGAUGCUGACUAUUUUUUAUUGUUUAUUUACAGUUUAAUGAAGAUGUGUGUCAGUAAAUAGUCAACUUUACUUCGACUCUGUCUUCAUUUGCUCUGGUUUAACCAGGUGUUAAGUCAGAGUUUCAACACACUGCACAACAACACUACAGCACUAAUGUUAAUACCCGUAAUUACAGCAAAAAUAAGGAUGUUUACGGCCUGGUUUGACAUAACAUUAUUCGUACACACUGUUGUCUUAAUCAUUCCUCUGAUUUUGGCUAAUAUGUAAGCAUUAAUGUUAAUAACUUGGAGAAUGGCAAAGUUGACUGUUGCAUAGUCAAUCGUCUCUCCUCACAUUUACAUCCACUGUAUUCUCAGUAAAGACCAAACGCUGUAUGAUUGACUUCUUUAUGCAAACAACAGAUAUUGUACUGAUUAUAUUUCACAGUAUAGCACACAUGCAUUAGUAUGUGGCAAAUAAUUUCCUAUCAUACAAUCUGUUGUUGCACUCCAAACUCUAGUGUAGUGCUGUGAGGCUGCAAUCAUGGAGUGUAACCAUGGCGAUAUUACCCAGUCUCAAAGCUCUGCAUAUAAAGUUGGCAGCCAGACUUCCACAAAGCAAAUGUCAAUCAGCUCACAACCUGUAUUGACGGUUGGCGCGGCUUCAGACGCCGUAACUUUAUUUUCUUACAGGCGGACUGCGAGGGGUGGAAAAUCAUUACAAAACAAGUCAACGGAGUGACUUUCAAAUCAUGAUUAAAUUAUUCCUAAUCAAUGUAGAAAAUGAGACAAAGAGAAUUGAUUGAUAAAUAGAUUCUUCAGGGAUUUUAAACAUUUAAAACUCUUUAAAUUUGUAAAUGUUUUCAGCGAUUCAGUUUGUUUCAUAAUCAGAAGAAAUUGAAUGAAAUUUAUUUGAAUAAUUAUCCUUUUGUUUGGUUGCUUUUGUCAAACAGCUAGAACAAACAGUGCUGCUGUAAUCGUUAUUUAAAAGUCCAGGUUUUUCUACAGAUUAAAUAUAAAUAACACUCGUUACUAUGUCGAAAUAAGUGUUAAAAAAAAGGUGCUUUUUGUCCUCAGGGGCCACCAUCCCUUCAUCAAAGAAGGGGUGAGCGUGUUCACGAGAUAUUUCUGCAUAAAAGUUUAUUAAAACUGGUUAUAAGUCUUUGAUUUUCCAGGUAUCUGUAAGCCGAGAUGAGGGAAACAGCUUUUCUUUAGCUUCUUAAAAAAUAAAGGAGUUAAAGACGAACUUACACUCUCAGCCAUAUGGUCGUCUCUUACAGGAUCACACUCUCCUCCUCGCUCUGAGUUCACGCACAAACACUUACAGAGUGAAAAUAGAGUGAAAAGCAGCCACACCUCCGUUUGAACAACUGACGGCCAAACAUGAGACCGAAGAGUAAAAAAGUUCAACAUAUGUUCGAGUUUUCAGGAACUUUUUGAGAACUUUAGUUUCUCAAAAAUCCAGUUUAUUAAGAAAAGGUGUAAAUCUUCAUCUUUAAAUGUGUUUAGAAAAGAAAUGAUUUAGGGGUCUCUGUACAACAGUGGAGUUAUUGAUUUUUGUUUGCAGCGUCUUGCUCUUGUAUCGUAAUUUGCAGACGAUCCCUGCGCAGAGAGAUCGGUAUUAUUCAUCCAGUUCGAAAAACGGCUUGUUUUUGUAAAACAAAUCGGUUUUUGAUUCUUGUAGCUAGUAGUCUGAGCUAUUACGACAUUAAAGAGGUAUCGUUUGUGUUUAGACAACGUUUCGUCUCAGAGUUAUUGAUCCCAGAAGUCCGAAUCUGUGAAUAUCUUUCCAACUUUACUGAACUUUUUCCCACUGCUGCCGUUUAUAAGCUUUCCGGCGCACGACACACAAAAACAAGCU